CCUGCACUCUGAGUAUGGAAUCACGUCAAAAUUAAAUAUAUAUUCAUAUCGAUUCUCAAUUAACUAAUGAUGACUCCAAUGAAGAAGUAUUAGAAACUCUUUCUAAUUUUCUUUUUGCUUUUGGCCAAAAGAUUUUUUUCAAGUCAUCUAGGAUUGAGAAUACACAGGAUGCGAUCUUCUCUUACUAAGAGUGAUCGAUUUCAUGUUGAUCUACUCACAACCUCCAUACACACUCCACUAUAUCCAGAACACCAUGUACAUGUCUUAAUGCCAUGCCUAGGUAUGAACUAAAAUAUGGGUUCAUGUGCAUAAGAUUUCAUGGUG
rnacentral:lncRNA from 1 species